rnacentral:rRNA from 1 species
GACGAACGCUGGCGGCGUGCUUAACACAUGCAAGUCGAACGGAAAGGCCUGCUUUCCCUUGUGGAUUGCGGGUACUCGAGUGGCGAACGGGUGAGUAACACGUGAGUGAUCUGCCCCCAACUUGGGUAUAAGCCUGGGAAACUGGGUCUAAUUCCCGAUAGGACUGCAGGGUGGUGCCUGUGGUGGAAAACGAUUUUCUAGUGGUUGGGGAUGAGCUCGCGGCCUAUCAGCUUGUUGGUGGGGUAAUGGCCUACCAAGGCGGCGACGGGUAGCCGGCCUGGGAGGUGGGCCGGCCAAAUUGGGCCUGGGAAACGGCCCAGACUCGUACGGGAGGCGGCGGUGGGGAAUAUGGCACAAUGGGCGGAAGCCUGAUGCAGCGACGCGGCGUGGGGGAUGCCGGCCUUCGGGUUGUAAACUCCUUUCGACCGCGGGAAGCCACCUGGUUGGAAGGGUGGUGACGGUAGUGGUAGAAGAAGCACCGGCUAACUACGUG